rnacentral:miRNA from 1 species
GUGUACACCGCCUGCGACAUUGAAAGUAAUAUCAUCCUCUCCCCAUCUGGAUAUUAAGAAGAAUAUCAGAGGAAGGUGUACACC